CCUGGCUUUGGCAUCGCACUUUAGAUCUUUCCAGAACUUCAUAAAUCUUCGAGGAUCUGCUUCUCCAUUUUCUCUCUAGCCCUAAAAUUACCAGCCAUGGUGAUGAUUGAUGACUAUGGUUAUGGCUCAAUAGAUUUUGUUUUUAUUGUACACGAGAAACGAGACAAUGAGCAGCAGAAAUAGCCGCACCAUCUAUGUUGGUAACCUUCCUGGAGAUAUUCGUUUGAGAGAAGUAGAAGAUCUGUUCUACAAGUAUGGACCGAUUGUCGACAUUGAUUUGAAGAUUCCCCCACGCCCACCGGGCUAUGCUUUUGUGGAGUUUGAAGAUGUUCGUGAUGCUGAAGAUGCAAUUUAUGGCCGAGAUGGAUACAAGUUUGAUGGAUGUCGUUUACGGGUGGAAUUUGCGCAUGGUGGAAGGGGGGGACAUUCCUCUUCAAUAGAUCAUUAUAGUCGUAGUGGGAGUAGCCGUGGUGGUGUUUCUCGGCGAACUGACUAUCGUGUUUUGGUCACUGGAUUACCUCCUUCUGCUUCAUGGCAAGACCUGAAGGAUCACAUGCGUCGUGCUGGUGAUGUCUGCUUCUCUGAAGUUUUCCGUGAUCGUGGUGGGAUGGCAGGAAUAGUAGAUUAUACAAACUAUGAUGACAUGAAAUAUGCUAUACGGAAACUUGAUGAUUCUGAAUUUCGAAAUGCCUUUUCUCGUGCGUAUGUACGGGUGAAGGAGUAUGACUCUAGGCGUAGCUAUUCCAGAAGUCCUUCCCGUGAUUCUAGACAAAGUGAUUAUUCUAGAAGUCCUAGUCGUAGUCCUUAUGGGGAAAGAGGUCGUAGCCGGAGCAGAAGCCGGAGUCGAAGUAGAAGUCAAUCUCGAAGCCUUAUACGUAGUCAUAGCCAUAGUCAUAGUGGCAGGAGCACAAGUUUUUCUCCAAGGCUGAAGCACUCUCGUCGGUCGCCGUCAAUUUCUGAACAAUCCCAGUCAAAGUCUCUUUCAAGAUAUGGGCUUUUGCGGAAUAAUUGAGACUUGUUAGGGGCUUGAGAGAUGUGGUGCUCAAUGUUCUUCUUUCAACUCUUUGGUUGUUGAGUUACUGCCAACACAAUGGAAAAGCUCGUUGAGUUGCAAUACUAUUGUUUGCUACGUUGAGAAUUAGUCCUCUGUACAUCGGUUCUACAUUAGUUUGGGUUAUAGUUUGAAUGUUCUUCCCUCUCACUGUUUUGCUGCCUGUGUUUAUUUGCUUUCAUUCUUACUUAUAAUCAACUCUUGAUGGGCUGGGAUGAAAGAAUUGAGCUUGGAAACCAGUCUUCUAUGUAUUUAUUGUUGUUGAGCUUGGAAACAAAUUCUCUUUGGAUAAUCUUAUGAUUCUUUUGGUUAUUGA